CCAAACCAAAAUGCAUGCCUGCGACAAGCUUGCCGCAAGCUUGUCACAAGCUUGCCGCAAGCUUACAGCUUAAAUACAUGGUUGCUGCAUGCUUGCAACAAGCUUGCGCAAGCUUGCGAUGACUUUUGAAAUAUAUUGCAAGCUUGUUUAAAAUUCAUGCAAGCUUGCAAACAUUUGAUGUAAGCUUGCAAUGCCGCAAGCUUGCAAUUAGUAGACACUUAGAAAAUUUUUGUACAAAUCUACACUUAGAAAUUUCUUGUUAAAGUAAUUGAAACACUUAGAAAUUUUUUGUCAAAAGUGUACACAUUAAAAUAAAAAUUCCAAAAAUGAUAGUAUCAGUGAUAAUUAACUAGUUUAAACUAGAUUACCACGCUAAAGUUUAUUAUUAGUUAUUUUAUAUAUUCAGCUCAGUAUUGUAAAUUUACGAAGAAAAUAUAAAAUCAUCAUCUAUUUUAAUGCAAGCUACUGUAAAUGAUUUGAAAUUUGACACUUUAUACAUUUCAUGUAGUUGGAAAAGGGUAUCUCAGAAAAAAUGUCUAUGCAAAAGAAGUAAAUGAAUUGAUUGUUAAAUACAUAUUAUUAUUUCAAUAAAUCUACAUGAAGUUAUGUACAAUGAAAUAAUAUCCAUUUAAUUACAGGCUUUAAGUUUAACUAUAAAUUAAUUAAAGUCUGUGAUUCAAUCAUUCAGACACUAUAAUAAUCAAGAUGGGAUUGCAUUGCUUGCCAUUUUUAAAUUCUAAGAAUUCAUGUUUUUGGAUAACAAUAAAUAAAUAAAUAAACAAAACAAAAACAGUGCAUGAAAUAAUCUCAUAUAUAUUCUAUAUUAAAUUAAUCAAUAUAUAUUGCUUUUAUUUAGGAAAAUAAAUACUACAUCCACUGAGAUUUUACGCCACACACAUCAGAGCCUUGAUAAAAUUCAUUGACCAUCUGUGCAUGACUAAUUUACUCCCUGGUCAUUCCGACAGAUCAGGCUGUUCCAUUUGAUUAUUUUGGGGAGAGAUAACAUUAUAAAUUUCAUAUGCAGAAUGUGUCUAGAAGGACAUUGCAAUCUUUUUGUACAAAAAAUUUGUUAAUGAUUUUUAAAAUCUAUAUAUCUAUUAGCUAUUUGAUAUUUUCUUUUACUGCUCAAAGAAUGAAAGUUAAAAUGAUGAGUAGAUUAACCCUGCUUUACAUAAUGAUAGACCUGUCCAGUUUUACAGUAACUGUUGUAAAAUUUGAAUUCUAAGAUAUCUGGGUCAGCAAAGAGAGCAGAGGAUGUACUUGAUAUUUUAGCAGUUUUGGAGAUAUUGUUUUUAACAUUUAAAGUGUUUAAGUAUUGGUAUGAUUACAAUCAGAAUCACCUGGGACAAGGAGAUAUACAACAGAAUCAGGCUGGGACAUAAGUGCUGACUGUGAGAAAUAGCGGCAGUGUUUAAUAAUGAUGUGCAGUAUUAAUCCUGAAAAGGUCAGCACAACCAUAAGAAGUUCUAGGAAACACUGGCAGAGGACUAAAAAUUGACACCGAUAAAAGAAAUAGUAAUUUAAAUAAUCAGAAACAUAUUUAAGAUUGAAUAGUUUGUCACUGACAGACUAAGAGCAAAAUAAUUGCUUAAAACAAAGUGUUGGAUUCUAAGAAAACAAGAACCUACCAAAACCUGCAGCUAGAAAAAAAACUGUUUGUGUUAUAGUGAAUGUAGGCUGUUCUAUUCUGUAUUUGGACUAAAGGAUAUGUAUUAAAUUUUGUGAAAGAAAUAUGUGAUCAUGUUAAACUCAUAAAAAUUCUACCCCAAACAUUCCUGUGCUGAAUUCCAUCCCAGAAUUUUACAUUUUAAGAACAUUCAGGGAUGCUGGAAUUAGGCUGGAUUUUUUCAAUGUCAUCCCAUGAAGGC